CCUGGAGAGAAGGAAAUGCAGAUAUAGCUGGGUAUGGAUAGCAGUUGACUGUUUGCCCUUUAUCUCAGGAACAGUCAGUCUGCAGCUUGCAGGGCAGGAAAAGAUUUGUGUAUCCUUCUCCUGUGAAGAAUAGCUUCUUUCUGCUGCUUCAGCUCAUAGCGCUCGUGCUUCCUCUCCGCGCUUCCUCCAGGAGCUCUGUCAGCCACAGAUGCUUUGCAUGUGUGAGAAAAGCAUGUGUUUGUUCGGGAUUGGAGCACCUUGGCCUUCAGAAACCUUGCAUUUCUGCUAGCGGCGCUGCUUAUGAAUUUACUGCUACCCGCAUGGCUGAGAGGGUGCAAAAUUAAAAAUCGAAUUUCCAAAGCUAAUACAAGAAUUUCUGCGAGAAAUGUGUGCUAAGCCUCAAGAUCAAAGAACAAAGAAUGAACCUCAAGCACGUGUCUCCCUCCUCCUCUUCCCACAUGAAACAUUGAGGUUCUGUCCUUUCGGCAUAACCUCUCCCAAAUGUUCAUACUCCUUUCCUAAGGAAACGGCAUUCGUGUGGCUUCCCUGGCUGAGUGGUGUUACCCAAAAGCUUUGAACUCGCUGCUCAAUUUCAGCUGGACGUGAACAGGAAGACCAAGAUAUCCCAAAGGGAGAAAAUUGUGAAGAAACAGAAACACUCUAGAUUGGACACUGUGGCAGAGGACUAAAGACUAUGAGCCACCAGAAGGAGAUGCAGCUUGAGAACGGGAUGAAAGCUGCAGGAAAACUUUUAGGGCAUCUCUGAAGGGAAGGGAUGUGCUACUAAGUCCUGAAAACCUCCACGAUUCAUUCACAAAAAUAAGCAUCUUACUAUCUAAGAAAGCAUCUCCCGCUGAUGGUUUGAAAGCUUCCUCCUUCACUUUGCAGCCACAUCUUACCAAAGCCUUGCGUGGGAGAUAACAGAUACAUCAAAGGCCAUCAUGAAUGCCAAAUUUAACAUCCAUGUGAACGAAAGAGUGGUUAUGCAUCCGCUCUCUGCUUGGCACUGCUUGCUGUAUUUCCCUUCUCACCAAGAUACACUUAAAGAAGAGAAAGGAGUCAGCACCUUGUGAGUGUUCCCAGCAGACGCUGAACCUGACUCGGGCUUGUAGUGAUAGCACUUACAUCACCCGUAUGUAAAACUGUUCCGGCAAGGAGCUGCCUGAAUGCUUUGGGCAACCGGCCACUUACUGCAUGCAGUCAUUUGGAGGCCAGACAAGCCGCGUCCCAGACCUAGAAGGCUGCUGAAAGGCAAGUGAGGGGCUGGGAGUGCAGUGAGAGGACAGAAAGCAGCAUUCAUGGAGCCCCUCAAAACAAAAAAACCAAAAACGGGCCCGACCGCACAAGGGGGUUGGUGACGGGCUUCUCCUCGUCCAGCGCAGCAAACCCCUUUACGGCUCAAAAACAACAGGAAGGCGGCUUUGGGUUCCCCUUAGGGAUGCGCGCUACACACCGCUUGCCACGGCUCCGGCGGAGAGCC
ensembl:lncRNA